rnacentral:lncRNA from 10 species
CUCUGCUCAGGGUGUCAUAAGGUUGAAAUCAAGGUGUUGGAAAGUCUGUGCUCCUUUAUUGCAAGUUUUGGGGAAGAGCCUUCUUCCAAGCUCAUUCAGGUUGUUGGCAGAAUCCAAUUUCUUACAGUUGUAGGACUGAGGCUCCUGCUCCCUUGAUGGCUGUCAUCUGAGAUCUCCUUUCAGCUCCUAAUGGAUACCCACAUUUCUUCUCACAUGGCCCCCUCCAUCUUCAGAGCCAGCAAAGACCUGCAUUGAGCUGCGGUGCUGAUGUUUCUCCUAGUAGCAUGGCUUUCGGUAUAAAAAUAUGCAAAAAAGUGACGUGAGGAAUAUUUGAACCAAGGUUUUAACCUUCAAAAUAUCAGGAAUGGGAAAGGAGGCAGCUAAGAAGAUGGAGAAGGAUAUACUGGGGAAACAAGUCAUAAGGAUUUGCCUUUCAGUUAAAAAACUUUCCCUGAAGCAGCUAUUAGAGAAAAGCAACUUAUUAUAAUUCUGAAAAUUUUUCCUUCUUGAUGUUCUAUCUCUAUGCAGAUGUCAUCUCCUCUUCCAUUCAGUAGACAAAAAAUAAAAAAUGGAUACUGUGUUAUUGGUGCUCUG